rnacentral:rRNA from 2 species
GUGCGAGACCGAUAGCGAACAAGUACCGUGAGGGAAAGAUGAAAAGAACUUUGAAAAGAGAGUUAAAGAGUACCUGAAACUGCUGAAAGGGAACCGAAUCGUUUCCAGUGCUAUAAUCCGUAACAUAUUUCACUGGCGUGUGGGCGCGUGCAGUACUGUGGAAGUGGUUUUCCUCUCCCGGUGCUGUUGUGCGUCUACUUGCCUCUGCCCUGUGUUAUGGUGUGACGUCAGAGUCAGUUCGUAUGCUGCGGGAAAUGGGCGCUAGGGAGGUAGGCUGCUUCGGUAGCUAUUAUAUCCUGGUGUUCUAGUAGUCGUGGUUGGGACUGAGGUGCCUAC